rnacentral:piRNA from 2 species
UAUCACAGCAACAGAAAGGAAACUAGGAAA